rnacentral:rRNA from 1 species
UACGGAGGAUGCAAGCGUUAUCCGGAAUUAUUGGGCGUAAAGGGUCCGCAGGUGGUUAAUCAAGUCUGUUGUUAAAGAGCGAGGCUUAACUUCGUAGAGGCAGUGGAAACUGAUUAACUAGAGUACGGUAGGGGCAGAGGGAAUUCCCAGUGUAGCGGUGAAAUGCGUAGAUAUUGGGAAGAACACCGGUGGCGAAGGCGCUCUGCUGGGCCUGUACUGACGCUGAGGGACGAAAGCUAGGGGAGCGAAAGGG